UGGGGAAUAUUGGGCAAUGGGCGAAAGCCUGACCCAGCGACGCCGCGUGGGCGAUGAAGGCCUUCGGGUUGUAAAGCCCUGUCAUGCGGAAAGAACGACCCUGUGACGCAUACUCACAGGGAGUGACGGUACCGCAGGAGGAAGCACCGGCUAACUCCGUGUACGCAGCCGCGGUAAUACGGAGGGUGCAAGCGUUGUUCGGAAUUAUUGGGCGUAACGGGCGCGUAGGCGGUAAUGUAAGUCAGAUGGUAAAUACUUCGGCGCAACUGAAGAACUGCAUCUGAAACUGCAUAACUAGAGUACAGAAGAGGGAAACGGAAGUCCCGGUGUAGAGGUGAAAGUCGUAGAUAUCGGGAGGAACACCAGUGGCGAAGGCGGUUUCCUGGUCUGAUACUGACGCUGAGGCGCGAAAGUGUGGGGAGCAAACA
rnacentral:rRNA from 1 species